rnacentral:rRNA from 1 species
AGUAUAUAUGAUCUUUUAGGUAAAGAAGUUCUUAAAACUAAUACCAAUAUAGCGGCUUCAUAUAAUGUAUCAGCAUUACCAUCAGGUAUUUAUGUGGUAAAGGUACAGUCGCCUACAGCUUCAUCUGUCGUAAAAGUUGUUAAGCAAUAAGUUAGUUUAGUUAAGGUUUUUUCAUUUUUUGCUGGGCUUUCAGGUAUUCUGAAAGCCCUUUUUUAUGUCUCUUUACGAUAUUCCGUAGAGAAGAAGUACGAUUUUUAGUGAAUCUGUAAAAACCUUGUUUUCUUAAGUAUUCAUAUUAUCAGAAUGUUAAGAAAAAGUUUUAAAAAAAGUGGUUUAAAAGUUUGGAAAAGCGGAAAAGGUGCCUACUUUUGCACCCGCAAUCAAGCAACGUUCUGCACUUACUGAAAACAACGACAACACCUGGUAUUAUCAGGAAAAAGGUUCAAAAAAAUAAAUUUGAAAAAAGUUGUUGAAAGAUUAGGAAGUAAAGAAAAAGUUACUACUUUUGCACCCGCUACAACAGCGACGCUCUUAGAAAGAUUGAAAGACGGAUUGGUUAACAGAAAAAGCUUAGUUACUAUAAAGAAUGAGGUUUUGAAAUUAGCUAAAAAGUUUUGNUAGUAUGACAGGUUUGGAAACAGAUCCUUCUUCGGACAUAUUACAAGGUGCUGCAUGGUUGUCGUCAGCUCGUGCCGUGAGGUGUCAGGUUAAGUCCUAUAACGAGCGCAACCCCUGUUGUUAGUUGCCAUCGAGUAAUGUCGGGAACUCUAACAAGACUGCCGGUGCAAACCGUGAGGAAGGUGGGGAUGACGUCAAAUCAUCACGGCCCUUACGUCCUGGGCUACACACGUGCUACAAUGGCAGGUACAGAGAGCAGCCACCAUGCAAAUGGGAGCGAAUCUAUAAAGCCUGUCUCAGUUCGGAUUGGAGUCUGCAACCCGACUCCAUGAAGCUGGAAUCGCUAGUAAUCGCAUAUCAGCCAUGAUGCGGUGAAUACGUUCCCGGGCCUUGUACACACCGCCCGUCAAGCCAUGGAAGCUGGGGGUACCUGAAGUCGGUGACCGCAAGGAGCUGCCUAGGGUAAAACUGGUAACUGGGGCUAAGUCGUAACAAGGUAGCCGUACCGGAAGGUGCGGCUG